GACGAACGCUGGCGGCGUGCCUAAUACAUGCAAGUCGAACGCACAGUUUAUACCGUAGCUUGCUACACCAUAGACUGUGAGUUGCGAACGGGUGAGUAACGCGUAGGUAACCUGCCUGGUAGCGGGGGAUAACUAUUGGAAACGCUAGCUAAUACCGCAUAAUAUUUAUUAUUGCAUGAUAAUUGAUUGAAGGUUGCUAUUGCAUCACUACCAGAUGGACCUGCGUUGUAUUAGCUAGUAGGUGAGGUAACGGCUCACCUAGGCGACGAUACAUAGCCGACCGGGUAGGGUGGGUGGCCAGACUGGGACUGAGACACGGCACAGACGCCCACGGGAGGCAGCAGUAGGGAAUCUUCGGCAAUGGACGGAAGUCUGACCGAGCAACGCCGCGUGAGUGAAGAAGGUUGUCGGAUCGUAAAGCUCUGUUGUAAGGGAAGAACGGGUGUGAGAGUGGAAAGUUCACACUGUGACGGUAUCUUACCAGAAAGGGACGGCUAACUACGUG
rnacentral:rRNA from 1 species